rnacentral:rRNA from 1 species
GAUGAACGCUGGCGGCGUGCCUAAUACAUGCAAGUCGAGCGAACGGACGAGAAGCUUGCUUCUCUGAUGUUAGCGGCGGACGGGUGAGUAACACGUGGAUAACCUACCUAUAAGACUGGGAUAACUUCGGGAAACCGGAGCUAAUACCGGAUAAUAUUUUGAACCGCAUGGUUCAAAAGUGAAAGACGGUCUUGCUGUCACUUAUAGAUGGAUCCGCGCUGCAUUAGCUAGUUGGUAAGGUAACGGCUUACCAAGGCAGCGAUGCAUAGCCGACCUGAGAGGGUGAUAGGCCACACUGGAACUGAGACACGGUCCAGACUCCUACGGGAGGCAGCAGUAGGGAAUCUUCCGCAAUGGGCGAAAGCCUGACGGAGCAACGCCGCGUGAGUGAUGAAGGUCUUCGGAUCGUAAAACUCUGUUAUUAGGGAAGAACAUAUGUGUAAGUAACUGUGCACAUCUUGACGGUACCUAAUCAGAAAGCCACGGCUAACUACGUG